ensembl:lncRNA
GUUCUUCAUGAGUGGCUGUUUGCUUUCCCAUGUCUUCAGGGGGGUGUCUCCUCAGGGUUCUUGGUACCUCCAUGCUCUGCGGUGUCCUCUGCUGCUGAACUAGUUCUCCCAUGCUUCAUGGACCCUAUGGCCAACAUCAUGGAAACGACUUCUUGCUGAUGGUAUAUUACAACAUUUGAUCUACUGGAGAGGAUUGUGUUUUACAGUAAUAGCUCACACAUUUUCUUUUACAACAUGGCAUAAGGAGAGCGAACACUGGAUCUUGUGCAGCUGGGCAUGCAGGGAGGAGAAGCAGUUGCCUGACAUACCCUCUGCAUUAAAGAUGUCCUUGUCACAAAUGCUGCAACCUGUAUUGCUUUGCUGUAGAAAACAACCUCUGGAAGGAAAUAGGUAUUUUAGGUUUCUAGGAGCUGCCUUUGGAUUUUCU